UCAAGAUAAAUGUCGAACAUUCACAUAAUAAAUGAGCCUAUGGAAGCCACGGAAACUAAAUUAGUCACAUCACUGGAUUCCACUCCCCAUCUGCUUCUGUGGUUUACUGAGGAUAGUAAGGACAUUAAGUGAUAUGUUCAUUGGAAAUGCCACUGCAAACAAAGAGACUAGAAUCACAGAAUUCACAGUGUCACCAUACUUGGACUUGAUGAAGUUUAUUUGGAAUAUCUUCUUAAAGAAACCUAAUAGAAGAUCCUAGGAAAAUGGACAGAGGCCAUCCCAUAGAGGAAAUGAUGUGCUAAUGUUAAGUGUUU